rfam:Anaerosphaera aminiphila DSM 21120 genome assembly, contig: EJ13DRAFT_scaffold00006.6
UACAGACGGUAAAAAUAACCGCAGACAGUAGGGAGCAAUUGCUUUAAUAAUCCUACCGAGGUAUAAGAAUAUCGGAUUUAAAUAUUAUUUCGAUUUUUUGUAAUCUCAUCUGGUCUGCGAUGAGAUUUUUUAUAUAUUCAG